rnacentral:lncRNA from 1 species
GAACAUCAAAGUUCUCAAGUUGUUUCAAGAUGUAUGGAGUGUAUACAAAUCACCAUAUACGAGUCAAUUACAUCAAUAAAUUCAAAUAUUUUCACUCAUAAUUCUUACUGAAAUUCUUAUUGAACAAGAGUGAGAGACAUUUGAAUAAACUGUGUGUUUGAAUAGCACUAUGAAGAUUGUAUUAUAUAGUGAGAUUUACAAUUUAUUGAAUUAAUUACAUAGAGAAUAUGAUACGAUAUAUUCUAUUACAUACGAAAUAUGCUAUGAUAUAUUCU